CAGCAACAGACAUUGUUUACCAAAUUACUGACACUGCAACAUUAGAUGAUCAAACCAGCAAUCAUUAGUGUGCGCGCAGUUAACCAUCCGUUUAACCACUGGUUCUACCAGAGGGACACAGCGUGGUUUGAGACUACCCAGUGCUAAACUGCAGACACAACAGAGCAAUCGGGUAUUAAAAUGUCUGGUAACGCAAAACUUUUUUCCCAGCUUGUAUUAGGACAGAAGAGACGUAACCUCUCAUAGUGUUGUUGCACGCAUAAAGAAACGUGGGGUUUUCAAAUUAUUUUCUGCAGAACGAAUUCUUCCAACAGCUCUACAGCAGCCUUCAACAAAUCUCUUCGUGCCUGGUGCUAAAUACAGCGCUGUCUCACCGGCCCACGUGCACCCUUCCAGGGCUGUAUUCAGCAGGGUGGCAUCCAAAUACCGCAUCGCUAUCAUUUAAAAACAGAUUUGCUGUUUAUUAGUGCAAUACACAGAUCCAGCUUUGGGAAAAGAAAUCCUCUUUCCUUAUCCACCUUCAACACCUGCUGCUGUGGCAAACGGAAGCCUCUUUAAUAUACCAUCAGCAUCAGCUAAACAGAGCUAAUGAAAGGCUAUAAAGCGAGGGCCAGGCUGCGGCCCCAGCCGUAUGUCGCCACAUGUUCCGCACUUUAAUCGUUAUUACCGCUGAAGCUGCAGGGAGGGACCGAGCCCUCUCCGCAGGAUGCGGCUGCGGCGGAUGGAAGAGGCGUUCGGCCCCCACGCACCGCGACUCGGCAGCGCUGCUCGCCGACCGCCCGGGCUCCACAGGUCGCGGGGCUCCCGGCCGCUGCGGCACCGCAGCCUGAGCGCGGGGAGGGCCGCCCCCGCAGGGCUCCGCUUACCGAUGCGCCGCACGUAGUGUUUUGCAGGAAGUUUCCACGCUCCCCAGUUUAAUCCGCGCGAGGGGGGUUGGUUGGAGGGGAGCUCGGCUGAUCGGCGAUGGAAGGGGGCGGGCGGCGAGGAGGCGGCGGCGGCAGCGACCGCGUUUAAUUUUUUAACGAGGGCGGCUCGACAGUUCCCGGCGGGGUCGCAGCGCCGGGCGGCGAGGGGAAGCGCGGCCGAGCCGCCCCCGCCGCCCGGGACCCCGCGCAGCCCCAGGGGCCGGAGCCGAGCCAGCCGUCGGGGCUCCCACCUGGGCUUCGGCCAGCCGUGCCCGGAGCUCCGCCGUCCGCCACCAUGGGCAACGCGGAGGAGACGGGUCGGUAGCGCGGGCGGUUCGGCGGGGCCGGGCGGGGCGGCGGGGCUGUGCCGGUGGCCGAGAGCCCCGGGCUGCGGGCGGCGGCCCGGGGGGAACGCGGAGCCGGAGAAAGUAGGGGCUGCGCAUGCAGCGGCGUGGCAACGAUUGCUCGGCGGGUGCUCGGUGUCCUGCAGUUCUCGUAGCCUGCAUGCCUCAGGGAAACAGGCAAAGAAGGAACAGAGGUGAAAAUCCCACAGAGUCACCAAGAUGUGAUGUCCAAUGAUGAGCAGUAAUUACUGCGGCAACACUUCAGCCAGCAUGAGCG
rnacentral:lncRNA from 1 species